UACAGAGGGUGCAAGCGUUAAUCGGAAUUACUGGGCGUAAAGCGCACGUAGGUGGCUGGGUAAGUUGGAUGUGAAAUCCCCCGGGCUUAACUUGGGAAUUGCAUUCAAGACUGCCUUGCUAGAGUGUGGAAGAGGGAAGCGGAAUUCCUGGUGUAGCGGUGAAAUGCGCAGAUAUCAGGAGGAACACCAAUGGCGAAGGCAGCUCGCUGGGACGUGACUGACGCUGAGACGCGAAAGCGUGGGGAGCAAACAGG
rnacentral:rRNA from 1 species